ACAGUAUGUGUGGCUGCAAGAAUUCAGACAAAUGGAAGUUACCGUCUCGAGACUCAUUUUUGCAAUGAAAGUCUGGAAGCCUUAUGUCACAAAACUAAACGUAUUAUUGAUACGGAGAGAAGAUUUCCAUUUUUUAUAACACUUCCUCUAUCUGUCAUAGUAUCAGGUGUUUUGAUUAUGAUUACGCUGAUAUUGCUGAUGGCUAUAAUCAAUAUUAGAUCAUUUAGACGAAUAAGCAUUUACAAAGAUAAGCUCAAGAAAGUGAAUGAAAGGUUACCUGGAACAGAGUUUUCAACUUAUACUGGAACCGAAGAAAAUAACGAAGAUCUAAAUAAUCUCGGGUAUAACGAAUUGGUUGUGAGUACGUCACAACGUUUAGCUGAAUGCCAUGACAUUGAAAUGGACACAAGAGACGACGCGAUGGAAUACCAGGGUUAUCUUGUUCCCGAACAGCAUUACCAUACAAUACCGGAAACGGAUGUUCAUUACACAGAGACUUGCAUUGCAGACAAUAUUGCAUUCAAUUGAUAUUAAGAAUCUGUUACAAACUAGCGUUUGUUAGUUGGUUUUUAUUUCGCAUGUAUUGUAAUAGACAAAGAGAUACAGAAGAUAAUGAAAAUAUAAACAUAUAUUUCAUCAUGUAACAGAUUUAAUAAUUAAAAAAAAAGUAAGACUUGAGAACCUAGAAAUUAUAAUAUUUUUUUUUAAAGAAAUAAAACAUACUGCAAGGAACGGUCUUUUACAUCAUAAGACGACCGAGCGACAAAUAUAAUUAUGUGCCAUUAUAUAAAUAUAUUUCUAAAAAUUGGAAAAACGUUUA